AGUGAACGCUGGCGGUAGGCCUAGCACAUGCAAGUCGAACGGCAGCACAGUAAGAGCUUGCUCUUACGGGUGGCGAGUGGCGGACGGGUGAGGAAUACAUCGGAAUUUACUUUUUCGUGGGGGAUAACGUAGGGAAACUUACGCUAAUACCGCAUACGACCUACGGGUGAAAGCAGGGGAUCUUCGGACCUUGCGCGAUUGAAUGAGCCGAUGCCGGAUUAGCUAGUUGGCGGGGUAAAGGCCCACCAAGGCGACGAUCCGUAGCUGGUCUGAGAGGAUGAUCAGCCACACUGGAACUGAGACACGGUCCAGACUCCUACGGGAGGCAGCAGUGGGGAAUAUUGGACAAUGGGCGCAAGCCUGAUCCAGCCAUACCGCGUGGGUGAAGAAGGCCUUCGGGUUGUAAAGCCCUUUUGUUGGGAAAGAAAAGCAGCAGGUUAAUACCCCGCUGUUCUGACGGUACCCAAAGAAUAAGCACCGGCCAACUUCGUG
rnacentral:rRNA from 1 species